rnacentral:lncRNA from 1 species
CCUUUUUUUGGCAGGAGACAGGGCCUGCAUUUUUCUCAUUCAUGCCAAACUGCUUUGCACGGCAAUUAGCUCUGUCCUCAUUUAGUCUCCAGUCCCAAAGGGUAAUGAAAGUCAUAUAUCAUCUUCAAGACUGCUAAUUAUUGAGCUCGCUUACAGUUGUUUUUUGUGAAGAGAUUGCUCCGAUACAAGCUAAUAAUCCAUCAUAUCCAGAAGCAAAACAAAGAGCAUGGACUUCGGAGACAGACUUCCAGGAAUCGGAUCUCAGUUCCAUCAUUUACUUGUCCUGUGAUCAUGAGCAAGGCAGCUCAGUCCCGCUGCUCAAGUUGGGGAGACAAAAGGGAGCGGUGCGCACUGUGGGGAUCCGCGCCAGGAUAGAGGGUCCCUCCACCCCGCGCCUCGGCGGAGCAGAGCUUGAAACCCAGAACCUCAGACGGCGUCCACCUGGUCGCCCCAACGAGGCCGAGAAUGGGAGCCCAGAUCCUGACCUGGCCGGAUUGGUAGGGGCUUCUGGAUCCCGGGCCCCGGUGCUCUGUCCCGCGGCGCAGACCGGGAUAGACUGCAGACUGCGGAGAAAUCGGGACGUGGAAAAGCAGCCGCGGCGCCAGCCAGCCGCGGGUCCGGCCUCUGGAGAGAGGAAGCAGCCGGGCGGGGAGGGGGUUGCCUGGAGGGGUAGGCUGGUGGCUGCCUCUGGCCCUCGGCAGCCAGAAGAAGAAGCGAAGAGCAAAACUCCUUUUCUCCCUAGGGACAAGAGGGCUCCGGCGCGCUCUCCUCCCCAGGCCUGGGAAACAGGUUCUCAAGCGCCCUCCGACCCCCAAUCGAUCCCAGUCUCCCGCCUGGGACAGGGGAUGCUUGGAGAGCGAGGAGAGGGACGCGGGGAGCGGCACCUCCCCCAGGCCGAGGCUGGGCGGCCGAGUCCGACCUGCGCCGCUCUGAGCAAAACGAAACUCAAACUCCCAAAAUUCUCGACAGGGGAAUUUAAAAAAUUCCCCACCCCCUUUCCUUUCACUUUUAACAAACCAGCAGCUGGGGGAAAAAUUAAACGAAAUGAGCGAUAGCUAAGGACGCUAUCUUUCCAAACUGUGAAACCCCUUUAAAAAAUAUUUUCGAAGGCCAGCCCCACAACUGGCCAGCUCUUCUGAAGCCUUUGCCUCUUCCUGAAAAUCACAUCAAAACAGUCGGAAAUGCGGCCAAGGUCCUGGGAUGGAGUAGCCGAGAGGCCCAGAGAACCCGCUGCUGCUGAAACCGCCAUGCUCUUCUUUCUCUUUAACCAAAAAAUAAAAAAGAUAAUAAUAAGAAGUAAAACCUUUUA